CUUCUCACAGAAGCCACCCCUGUAACCCCCACCACUACCAAAACCUUGCCACACAAACCCAAUACACCUUAUACAUGAAAGAAGAAUUCUUACGCAUCCUCAGAUUCUUACACAGCCUCAGAAACUGAGACCUGUCUUGUUCUUCUUUUUCUUCUGGAGAAGCACUGACUUGUUACCGAUAACUUCAAGGCUUGCCGUGACAUGAACUUCAGUCAAAGCCAUCAAAUCACCAUUUGACCUAUUCUCUCUGACAGAAGUAAAAUGUCUGUUCUACAUAGCAUAUUGGACAUAUGCAAUUUCACAAAACUGUAAGGCUGUAUUAUUCACUGGGUGUGCAAAGCUUCUGACACUAGAUUAGCAUGUAUUUCUUAAAUUUUUAAAGUAUUCCUACAUUUUGAUUUUGAAUGUCAGUAUUUUUUGGCAGUAAAAAAGUUAUAGCUUCAAGUUCCACCAGGGAAGUAAUUUUCAAAUAUUAAAACUAAUUCCCCAAAUUGCUUAAUUCUGAGUAUUCAUUUUUUCCAGGUAACAGCAACAGGAUUGUGGAUGUAUUAAAUUUAUACUUUUUUUUUCUGUACAAAAGAAUGAAAAUAAGUUUAACUAAUUUCAUUGGAAUGUCAAUCGUAAUUCAAGUAGUGGUGGUGGUUGCAUAGUAUAGUUCAAAAGAAUCUGAGGCUCCUUCCUUUCUUACUUGAAAGAGCUUACAUUUUCCAGAACUGGCCAACACAGUUCACGCAGCCCAGGUGCUAGGUCAGAGCUUUUGCAGUUGAGAUGCUGGGAUGGAAAUAAUGGUCUGCGCAGUGCCAGAUGGACUACGUGAGUAGGGACAUCAUUGCAGUUCAGUGUAACCUGUAUUAGCCCGUUUCCAGAUUGCAGCUAGAAUGGGAUUUUAACAAGGACAAAACAAGUAAGGCCCCUUCCCUCCCACGUACACAUAAACACACCUCAAGGGAUUUUUCAUUUUCUAAGCCUACGGUGAGCCACUAUGUUAUAGGGAGAAUGUAAAUUAUUCUUUUGUUUAUCCAUUAGUGACAGCAUCUUAGGAGGCAAAGAAUUUGACAUCACAUCAAGCUGUGAAAUUUUUAACACAAUUGGUUUAAAAUGGGCUGCACCAAAAAUCUGCAUGUCCUACCCUGCCUUUAUGGGCAGCAGUAAUGCUGUAUUAAAAUACACUUAAACCUUCUGGUAUCCAUAUGUAUUUUGCCACAAUCUAAUUGCUGUGUACUCAAGAUAGUUAAAAGCUGUUAGUGUAGAGUCAACAAGUGUUUGCUUUGGGUUUCUAUCUUUGUAGUUUGCAUGAGGAAAUUCCUAAGAGUUCAAACUGCUGAACAUGGUGUUGAUGCAACUAUUAGUAUAAAUACUAAUAAAUGGAAGAACAAAGCCUCUUUCAUGCUGAUGCAAAUCAUUCCCUUUUCAAGCAUCACACAAGCUAAUGCUGAAACAAGGGAAGAGGGAUCAAGCUAAUUGACAACUUCUGUAGAUGACUACACAGCAUAAACCACAAAUAACAGAGCAAACAUAAGCUUUAAAAAACACUGAUUGCCAGCUGGGGAGUAGUAUCAACAGUAAUUGGAUUGUAAGCAGUAGUUGCACAGCAUCUUUUAAAUCAAACCACUACCUCCUGUGGCUUAAUGAAGAUUUUUAGGUUAAUGUAAAAUAAGGCUUUGAGCUGUAUUCCCUUAACAGAUGUUGGGAAUUAACAUGUUACUAUUCCUACAGUUGAGUUUGCAGAAGAGAAUAAGUAUCUUCACCACCUGUCUGUGAAGUCUAGCAUCAUUGCAUAAGUCUCAUUUCAUCAAUUUUUUUUUUUAAGCUAAGAUAAAACCAUGCAUUUGAAAAUCUCAAGGAUCAUAAAAAAGCUGAAAGGGAGAAUUAACAUCUGCAAGUGGUCCAAGUGUACAACUUGAGUUGGUAACUGUAAGAAAGCACCAAGGGUCCAUCUAAUGAUUACUUGCCAUACCACUUCCCUAAAGCUAUUUCCCUUGUCUGUAAAUUUUUAAUAGCCUCCUGGUUGCUAUGGCAAGUAAAUUACACCAAGGAAAGUUAUUUGGUUGUUCAUUUCCAGAUGUUAAGAAAGCAGUAUGUGCACCAUGGACAACAGGUUGAGAAACUGCAAUAACUUUUUUCAAAUGAAUGAACCGCCAAAUUGUGUCCCUGUUGAAACUGAAGACAGCUUACGCUACCAGCGGUGUUCCUGUACUUAGAAUAGCUUCUAAAAUAAAAGUUCCAAGUAUGUGGAAAGCUUGCACAAAGAACCUUUAAAUCCCUGUUUUAAGGCUAUCUAUUGCAACUGGUUGCAUUUUUCUGACACUAUUUAAUUUCCUCUCAGAAUAAUUGCUGUAUGUUUUAUACAUUGACUCUUCUGUAGCCUAUCAUCCUCGCUGCUGUGAGGUGAGGAAGGAAUAGUUGUUGUCUAUACUUUGUGAAUACACAACUGGUAAUAGCCCAGUUUAAUUUCUCUCUGUUACUAGAUCGUCCCAGUAAGCAGGUGACAGAACUUUCUUUUCAUUAACCAAAUCUCUAUCAUUCAUCUUCUUACAGCUUGAAAACAGUAGAUUCUAAUAUAUUAAUAAACACAUCUGCAAGGCUUUGUGUACUUUAUAUUUCAGGCAAACAGUUUAAAGGGACCUACCAAAAGCAGGUUGUUUUUCUUUACACCCCACACCACCCCCCAACCUUAACUCCAUCCAGAGAAGAUAACUUAGGUAGUCUUACCAUAAUUUUUCCUCUCUGGUGAGUCUUCUAUUGUCUCUUUUUUCCUCCUUUUUUUCCGCAGAACUGUCUGUACACCAGCUAUAUGUUAAGGCUUUUCCACGUAGGUAUUCCAUGGAAAUAAGCCUGCCUUUCCUGCCCCUUCCAUUGGAAUAGGCUUGAUCCACCCUUUAGGGCUCUGCUACCAAUAGCUGUCUGCUGGAGGGUUUGGUGGAAUCGGUGCCACUCAACCACCCAACAUACCCAGUCCACUAACGGUCCUGUUAGUUUAUGUUGCUGGAUAUGAUGGAUCUAUGUCAACAAGUAAAAGUGCAUAAAAGUCCUCCCGACUCAUCUAAAUGAGGCUACGUUGGUUGAGUGGUGGACUUCAUUGUCAGAUGUGCAGUGAGAACUGUACAAGGCAGACAUGGCCCUACCAUAGCAGCCACCCUUUUCUCUCUAGAUUAAGAAAAAUUCUCUUCUGCACAUGCAGACAAGUGGUGCUCAGAUCUGUGCUAAACAUUGCAAAGACAGAGGCAAAGUCACUCUGAGAAGACAACAGAUAAAGUGCGUAAGGAAAGGGUGUGGGAAAACAGCGUCAUCUUGAUCCCAGUUCUUCCUGGUAGCUUCCCAACACAACCACCUCUUAAAUACUCAUAUUUCACUCGGCUUCUCCUUGUUGAUGAUAGUACACCAAGUUGGAGGGAAAGCAUAAAAUCGGGUACUCUCUCUUCAGCAGCCACAUAACAUGUUACUGUUUUUUCAAUCCAUGAAUGACAAGGAAGCAAAUAUGCAUUUCCAAGAGAAUUGAGCUUUAUAAGCAGCAAAAAUAAAAAGCCUGUGUGCAUAGGGACCUUUCCUAUUCAGUAUAUUUAAUCACUUACUGUCAAUUAAAAAAAGAUAGUUCAGCUUCAGUCCAGCCCGUUACUUCAGUGCUAAAUUCUACUUCAGAAGCUUUUAAACAGCCAGAAGAUGUGCUAGGGAGCAACUGUUCUCAGUCUUGUAACCUUUCCAAUGAGCCGAAAGGAAAAGCAAGAUUCUGGUGUCACUCUAACUGUAUUGAUGUAUCAGAGAAAAACAGCAGAAACACAUCUAAUCAAAGUAUACACCUUUACCAGUGAUUAGUCUGUUGCUAUGUAAGCAUCCCAAAACAAUCCAAUUCCUGGUGUUCCUUAUGGGCCUGGGGAGGAUCAUCAGUAUAGCAGGUUUCCCCUCUGGCACCUCCUGGCAAGGAGACUCUAGUGAAAGGGUCUGCACCUUCAUAAGCACACCGUUUGCCUUGAAGGUCAGCAUGAACCUUUUUCAGUUGUUUGCAAUAUCAGAAAGCAUCAGCACAGAACAUGGGCAGGAGUCCAGAACGCGUUACAAGUCUCCCCAUAAGUGACACGGAAGAGUAGAAAGCUCAAGAAGGAUAUUAAGACCUGCAUUCAUUUCUUUAUUCUGUUUCUUCACAGGCUCCACGUUCUUUGUGGCCAAGUCUUGCCUUUGCUCUGGACUCCUUUUCCACCAAUUAUUCCCAUAUUCUUUCCUUGGCUGACACUCCAUUUGAACCAGAUAUUUCUCUCUUAAAACACUUCCACUCUUUUGUGACUUAAGCUGUCCAUAAAUUGUCUUCUUCAGAGCUAUCUAUAUCACAAGAAGCUUUUUCCAUCCUGAACUGACUACCACUGUUCCCCUAGUUCUCCUGGCAAAGCAGAUGUUGCAAGUGCUUUCAAAUCGAACAAGUUUGAGCUUAGAUAGUUUAAAACGUGUUUCGAACUAAACUUGUUGAUGUCUGAAACAAGAAGGCUAACUCAAGCGAGCUUUUCCAACAAUGGGUCUCAGGACAGAAGCUGUCAGUAGCCUCCCUAGUAGUAAUAAUAUUGCUGUUGCAACAUCAAUUGCAAAGUGAUCUGCAGAGAUACCUCCAUCUGUAACCUGUCUGCAUCUUCCUCCUUUUUUCUUCCUGCAGAUUCUUUUCAGACUCCUGCUUCAUUAUCUUUGUCCUGAGGUCCUGUUGGAUUUUUUUCUUUAUUUUAUUAUUUCUUUUUACUAAUUAAUUCCGGAUUUUUAAGCAUCUUUCAAAAAGGUAAAGAAAAAUAAUUUUUAAAGUUCCAAUCAAAAUCUAUACAUAUUGGGUCCCAAAGAGUGGGUAUAUGAAUAGCUUCAAUGAUGCUAGUUUGUUAAGAGCUAUGGGAUACAGACCUUUUCAGUAAAAUGUGGAUUCCAUGAACUAAAGCAGUAUGUAUGGAAAAUUUUUCCUAAGAAACUGUACAUAGAUUUUGUCAAAUCCCAAAUCUCACUGUCCAUUGGUUGGUGCUAGAAAGAAGUAUUUAUCCUGAUAUCCUGCACAAUGUUAGGUCUAAACUCACCUGGCAACUCCCACAUCAAACCAACAACUUAAUUUACACCACAACACAGAUACCUAAUAUUUAAAGAUUUCAGAUGGCAGACAACAUGCCAGCAUCUAUCAGUUGAAGUUGAUCCCAAGCCUAACCACUGUCACAUAAAAAUCUGCUUUCUGUCCAGGCUGGCUUUGUCUAACGUUAGUUUCCAUCAGUGGAUUAUAUUUUACAUCUUCAUGUUGUAUUAAAGAGUCAUGUAUCAAAUUUCUAUUCAAGGUAGGUGGUCAAAUAGCAUUUGAAUAUUCUCUGCAACAAUUAAAUACAGCCAUUAAAGUCACAUUAGGACUUCUUUUCUAGAACUGGAUUGUUUCUCUGUUUUCUGAAGCUUUUCUAAUAAGUUUCAAAGUAAUUGUUUACUUUCAUUAAAAUCAUGUACUAGUGUCCUACUGAUUAAUAUUCCUCUGCUUAUGUUGCAUAUGAACCCUUAGUUUCAGCAUCACGCUGGAAGGUAGUGGUCCUUUUCACUAUCACUUCAUUCCAUCUUUUUGUGUCUUGUAAAUGUGACCAACUUCACUGAUACUUUUAUGCAUGAUCUUACAUUUCACUGCAUCAAGGUAUUAAGGUACGUGCUCCAUGUUUCUCUGCGUUUCCUCAUCUCUUAGGGCAAUGGUUAAAAUAGCACCUAAAAUAAAAACUCCUUGAAUACCCCAAAGACAAAUAUCAUAACGCUCCACAUACUAACCCUCCUAAAUUUUAAUCAUUAGCUACCACAUCUUUGGCAUCUUUGUUACAUUUAGGCCUUGGAAAACAGCAUUUGCAUUUGCUGUCUUAUGGGCAGAAAGAGUUAAAACAAUUCACAGCUUUUUCUUGGAAUUUCCCUUUCCUCUCCAGAGAGGACUGUCCUGGAGUAAUGUAAACACAGACAUCUGCUUGCUGUCACUUUGUCCUUCUUUUAAAUUCUUAGGAAUAAAAAGCAUCCCACAGGGCGGUCAGACCAGUCAUCUAGUCCAGUACUCGUCUCUCCUGGUGGACCUGUUGACUAUGAGUUUGUGUAAUCCUUCUUUGAAGCUAGUGAUACAACUCAUUCUUUUAGAAUAUAUUACCAAACCCAAUUUACUUCUCUUAUAAAAAAAUACCAAAAUUGUCCAAAUUUUCUAUACCUAAGUCAGCUAAGUAUGUACAGGAAAUUGUGAAGCACAAUAAACAUUUAUGGCAUGAAGACCAUUCAACUAGAGUUACUACCUGGAAAAAAAAUCAAACUGAUUUCAAGACGGAGUAUGGUAUUUUGUUGGACGUCUACAACUCUCCAUCUCUUGUGUUUCUGUUUGGAGGUGCAAACAACCCCUUUUAAUCUGAUUUAGAAAUCGGGGCUCAUCUCUAAUUAUUUAGCCUCUCUGUUGCUCCACACAGCCCAGAGUGAAAGAUCUGCGCAAAUAGGAGAACGAUAAUGCACAGUUCUAGAAAUAGCUCUAAUCCCUAUAUCCCUCUAAACAGAAAUUCACCUUACAGUUGUAAACAUUGCUUUUAAUAUAAAGUUAAACCAACACACUAAUUACAUUUCAUUAAGCAUCACAUCAACCUUUAGAGAGCAUAACACUAUUAUUCUAUAAUUUUACAAAUGGGAGAAUCAAGGAAUAGCAAGAGAAGGUGUCUUGGUUAAACCUUAUUACUAUUUAGUGGCAGAAGAGAGCCCAGUGUUUUCUGCUCUCCCUGUUGCAUUCCCUAAAGCUGAUUGGUGAAUAAAAUUUUCAGAGCAAGUUUCAAAUGCAUCACCUUCCUGGGAGGAGGGAUGCCAGCAGAAAAGCAGCCAUGCUUUCCAACACAUACUAGCAAUAAAUGAUAGCUGUUUAAUUCUGUGAGCAUCUCUUUCUGCGUAUAACUAUUCAUUAAAUAUUCCAGAUUCUGAUACACGACUGCAAAAACACUUUCCUUUUCCUGAGCACCUUUCAAAUUUGCUGUAGAGAAUACAAAUAAACUCAGAAACAUUGCUCUUAACAAAAGAAAUCCACUUGUGAUGUCAUUAGCGUGCAAGGGCUUGGAACAACUGAGACCUCCAUGAUUUCUUUGAUAAUCCACACAUUUGUGUGGUUCACAGCUCUCAAGGAGACCUGCAUUUCAGGUCCCUCUGUGGCCAAAAUAAGUAUGUUAAAUUAUACAUAAUUUUUUUAAAUGGAAGGUAGUUUUAUCAAAAAAAGCAAAAUUCUGUUUAAAAGGGAAAUUCUGUCACUGGAGAACUAAAUGGCAAUCCCUGCUGAAGUUAACAGGGGGUUUGGUUUUCAUCCUUUAUCUGACCUAAAAUCUGCAAUGACAGCAGGAACAAUUUCAAACUUAGGUAACCGUCAAGUUUUCAUGCACAACACUAUAGCAGUGGAGGUCCCAGUCUCCUAAGAAAUAAAGAGGGAUACUUGUACUAUUGUAUUUCACUGCAUAUGGAAGUGAUUUAUGCUAUAAUCAAAGGUGUAGCCCCUUCCACUGGAAGAUUCUCAAGCAAUUAUCAUGGAGUAAACCAGUCUUUAGCUCUACUAGCCAUUAAUUUAAUGAGACUUUUUUUUUUUUUUUAAUAACCAGUAUCUUCAUAACUGAUAGAUACCUAAUCUGGUGAAGCACCCGUUCUCUUGUUUCCUGGAGACAAAUGUGGUUCAGCUUUUCAGAUUAAUGAAUCGGAAAGCAAAAUGUGACAGUUUUCUAAAUUGUAUUGUAAUAAAUUUUCUGUGUUUCAAAAUGGAAAAAUAAUCCACAAAUUCACUUCCAGAGUUGAGGUUUCAGGUCUUGAAGUUUUUUUGGUUGGGGAUUUUUUGGGGGCAGGAUCUUUAGGUGGCAUAAUCUCUUUCUAGAGCAUAAAACUGUCACAUAGGAAUUACAAGUCUUUCCAUGCAUCUUAUUUAUAAAAAGCUACAGAAAAUCAAGCCUAAAAAUGUUAACAUGUUGCUAGUAGUGGUCAAGCUGUGGAAGUGCUGAAUUUACUAUUCCAGCAAUAUGUAAUAUAUUGCAUGAUGUAGAUGAUUUUUGCAAAACACAGGGUAAUACAAGCAUUACAAACCUGAUUUCUUAUUUUUCUGACUAACUACUGAGCAUUUACUGUCAACCUGAGGAGCUUUUUCCUUCCCACUCACGAACAGUUUUAGAACUCCUCUGAAGAACAGUAGGAGCUGCCAGCUUCCCCACUACACUUUGGAGCACCCGCUUUACAAAAAUCCUAACAAUAAGAAAUCUAAUCCAAUUUGUUGGGUCUGUUUAUGUGCUUAUGAAUUUAAUAAUGCUGCUGUUGAUGUGUUACCUCUCCUGCCCUGUGAAAUCCUCCAACAGAGUUACACAACUUGUCAAAGCGUUGUGCAACCAAAUGGUACUCUGUUGGAAGAGGUCGAGCCAGUGUCCUAUUAAACAGUCUCUGCGCAGCAAAGCGCGGGCCUGUAUGUUGUUCAUGUUGAUUUUGUCUUGUCAAAUUGUCGUCUCUACAUUGUGUAGAAACUUGGUCAGUUAUCCCCUUUUCCUACAGCAGAAGCUGUUUUGAAUAUCGAUCGCACUUAAAACACAACUAGAAAUAGAUUCCCUCAAAUUGAGUGUUAGGGAAGCAUCUGCAUUUUAUGUUCUUUCUACUCUGUGUUUGAAAUCCUGACCUUUUCCUGUUAUCUGCAGCCUCUUUUGUUGUCAGGAGGAGUUUUAGAAGUUUUUAUUUUUUAAUUAGUCAAUAUAACUGAUCCCUCUCAUUCUCAUUACAUUUUUCUUCCCAAUUCUGUAGAGGUAACUGAUAAUCUCACCUAAUAUUUAAGCUACCAACUUUCUUAUUUUGUUACAGACUGCAGUGACUAUAUUUAAUUCUGUUGGAUGCUGUUUACUCCCCUUCUGCUCUUGCCACCACAAACAUGUCAUACGGAUGAAAUAUUUAGACAGAAACAUAUUUUAACCAAGACAGGAGGAAGCCUCAUAUUGGGACUGUAUCUCAAGUAAUCAGAUAUUUUUGUAACUUGAUGGAAAUAUAUAUUCAAGAAAAAAAGACCAUUUAGGCAGUCAUGCCAGUUUUACCAAAAGAUUUCAGUGAAAAUUAUGUUUUCUUUUAAAUGUUGACAUUUUCUCAAUCAAAUAUUUUUUUCAUUCAUCACUUCAAGGAGAAUAACAGAUGCUUUUAAAGAAAUGUUGCUUCAAAAAAGUAAUUUAAAAGAAUAAUUUCUUUAUUUACCAGCCUACAAAUGACAUACUGUGACAAGGUAUGGCUCCUUUUUAUUUUUACAUAUAAAUUUCAUGCAUACGUAUCCUUAUUUAAAUGAAUUGUAUGAAAUGAUGAUUUCAUAUAAAUUGCAUACCUGUGUGCCUAUCUCUGCGCAUACUAAAAUAAUAAGAGAUACAGUUAAAAUGGAUUUCCUGUCACAGACUUCAUAUUAGCAUAUCCUUUCUGCAUCUCACAUUUAUCCUUUCUGGAAAGUCAAGAGCACCUUAUUUUCAUCAUACUGUAUCUAGCCUUAUAUCUACAUUUUGAAUAAACCCAGAAAGCACUGGAUUUCAGAUGUGAAGUAAUGCUUUGAUUUACUGCUUCACAUAAUGAAGGGCAUAACAUAAUAGUUUUUAGAAUACAAAAGCUCUGUAAUGCUGAAACCUUAAUACAGGAGUUGAGAAAUGAAAAAGAUGAGUCAAGAGGCUGCAAGGUAGCAACAAGUGACAGGUGUUUCAAUAAAGCAUGCAGAAGGUUUCCCUGGAUGUCAGUAAAGAAUUUGCAUUCUUACAGUUAAGACUUAAAACAUUGUACUUAAAGGAAAAAAAAAAACACAACAAAAACCAAACAAAAAAAAACCAUACCAAAAAACCCACAGCAACAACAAAAAAUAAAAAACACCCAAACAAAAAAAACCCAAACCAAACUGGGGCCUCCCAGGAGGUCAGCUAAAAGAGAAGGCCGUCUCUGGUUUAUCUGAUGCUAGAAGCUGACAUAGGGUUGAAUUUCUGAUAGAACAGGUCUGCAAAAUUCUGCGGUAUUUGGGUUUUUUUGUCAUUGCUCCCAAAAGGCAAUAUUGUAAUUGCAAGUACAGUUUGCAAAUAAAAAUUGUUACUACUA